rnacentral:rRNA from 1 species
GGGGGGGGGGGGCGGCGGGGCUGGUGGGUGCAGGUCGGGCGAGGGGGCGAGGAGCUUGCUCCUCUGACGUUAGCGGCGGGCGGGUGAGUAACACGUGGAUAACCUACCUAUAAGACUGGGAUAACUUCGGGAAACCGGAGCUAAUACCGGAUAAUAUAUUGAACCGCAUGGUUCAAUAGUGAAAGACGGUUUUGCUGUCACUUAUAGAUGGAUCCGCGCCGCAUUAGCUAGUUGGUAAGGUAACGGCUUACCAAGGCAACGAUGCGUAGCCGACCUGAGAGGGUGAUCGGCCACACUGGAACUGAGACACGGUCCAGACUCCUACGGGAGGCAGCAGUAGGGAAUCUUCCGCAAUGGGCGAAAGCCUGACGGAGCAACGCCGCGUGAGUGAUGAAGGUCUUCGGAUCGUAAAACUCUGUUAUUAGGGAAGAACAAAUGUGUAAGUAACUAUGCACGUCUUGACGGUACCUAAUCAGAAAGCCACGGCUAACUACGUG